AUCACCUGCUCAGGGAGCAAUUACUACUAUGCCUGGUUCCAGCAGAAGGCACCUGGCACUGCCCCUGUCUCUGUGAUCUUCUGGAACAGCCAGAGACCCUCGGACAUCCCUUCACGGUUCUCUGGAUCUGUGUCCGGCUCCACGGCCACGUUGACCAUCGCUGGGGUCCAAGCCGAGGACGAGGCUGUCUAUUACUGUGGUGGCUGGGACAGCAGCAGCAGCUAUGGUGUGUAG